GAUGAACGCUAGCGGCAGGCCUAAUACAUGCGAGUCGAACGGUGUCUUCGGACAUAGUGGCGCACGGGUGCGUAACACGUAUGCAACCUACCUUACAUUGGGGGAUAGCCUUUCGAAAGGGAGAUUAAUACCGCAUAAGACAGUAGCUGGGCAUCCAGCAGCUGUUAAAGAUUUAUCGAUGUAAGCUGGGCAUGCGUCCAAUUAGCUAGUUGGUGAGGUAACGGCUCACCAAGGCAAUGAUUGGUAGGGGAACUGAGAGGUCAAUCCCCCACACUGGCACUGGGAUACGGGCCAGACGCCUACGGGAGGCAGCAGUAGGGAAUAUUGGGCAAUGGACGCAAGUCUGACCCAGCCAUGCCGCGUGCAGGAUGAAGGCGUUAUGCGUUGUAAACUGCUUUUAUACAGGAAGAAACGACUCUUGCGAGAGGCAUUGACGGUACUGUAUGAAUAAGCACCGGCUAACUCCGUGCCAGCAGCCGCCGUAAGAC
rnacentral:rRNA from 1 species